AAGUUGUUUUGGGUGCAAUUUCGAUGUAGACCCUUGUAGUGCUCCCAUGCUUCAAAUAGCAAAUCGCCCAUUUUUUGUUCAAAAUUAGCAAUGACCUUUAUGAGCUU